rnacentral:ncRNA from 1 species
CCCAAGGCAUUGAAGAGAAAGAGUACAAAAUUGAGUUGUCACCAGCGAAAUGGGACAGUGAAAGCCAUUGACAAGGAUAUUUUGGAAGUGCGUCUCGGAGCUGAUUGGAUGAAAUUAAGUAUUCCAAUCCGUUUUGCUGCGUUAAAGCAUUAAGCUGGAGCGACAUAGUCGUUCAAACAGAGUGGAACCGCGGAACUAUUCGUCUCUGGA